rnacentral:rRNA from 1 species
UACGGAGGGGGCUAGCGUUGUUCGGAAUUACUGGGCGUAAAGCGCACGUAGGCGGUUUUGUAAGUCAGAGGUGAAAGCCUGGAGCUCAACUCCAGAAUUGCCUUUAAGACUGCAUCGCUUGAAUCCGGGAGAGGUGAGUGGAAUUCCGAGUGUAGAGGUGAAAUUCGUAGAUAUUCGGAAGAACACCAGUGGCGAAGGCGGCUCACUGGACCGGCAUUGACGCUGAGGUGCGAAAGCGUGGGGAGCAAACAGG